UACGUAGGGGGCAAGCGUUGUCCGGAUUUAUUGGGCGUAAAGCGCUCGCAGGUGGUUCGAUGCGUCGUGCGUGAAAGACCCCGGCUCAACUGGGGAGGGUCGUGCGAUACGGUCGAACUGGAGGCCAGUAGGGGGAUGCGGAAUUCCGGGUGUAGUGGUGGAAUGCGUAGAGAUCCAGAGGAACACCAGCGGCGAAGGCGGCAUCCUGGACUGGUCCUGACACUCAGGAGCGAAAGCGUGGGGAGCGAUCCGG
rnacentral:rRNA from 1 species